rnacentral:rRNA from 1 species
AGUUGAUCCUGGCUCAGGAUGAACGCUGGCGGCGUGCUUAACACAUGCAAGUCGAACGGAGUUUUAACGGAAGUUUCGGAUGGAAGUUUAGAACUUAGUGGCGGACGGGCGAGUAACGCGUGGGUAACCUGCCUCAUACAGGGGGAUAACAGUUAGAAAUGACUGCUAACACCGCAUAAUAUAGCGAAACCGCAUGAUUUUGCUAUCAAAUAUUUAUAGGUAUGAGAUGGGCCCGCGUCUGAUUAGCUAGUUGGUGGGGUAAAAGCCUACCAAGGCGACGAUCAGUAGCCGGCUUGAGAGAGUGACCGGCCACAUUGGGACUGAGACACGGCCCAAACUCCUACGGGAGGCAGCAGUGGGGAAUAUUGGACAAUGGGGGAAACCCUGAUCCAGCGACGCCCGCGUGAGUGAAGAAGUAUUUCGGCAUGUAAAGCUCUAUCAGCAGGGAAGAUAAUGACAGUACCUGACUAAGAAGCCCCGGCUAACUACGUGCCAGCCGCAGC